GUACUAGUAGCUCAGAGUCAGAGCGUCGGUCUUGUAAACCGAAUGUCAGGGGUUAAACUCCCCUCUAGCACU
rnacentral:tRNA from 1 species